GUGGGGAAUCUUGCGCAAUGGGCGAAAGCCUGACGCAGCCAUGCCGCGUGGAUGAUGAAGGUCUUAGGAUUGUAAAAUCCUUUCACCGGUGAAGAUAAUGACUGUAGCCGGAGAAGAAGCCCCGGCUAACUUCGUGCCAGCAGCCGCGGUAAUACGAAGGGGGCUAGCGUUGCUCGGAUUUACUGGGCGUAAAGGGCGCGUAGGCGGACAUUUAAGUCAGGGGUGAAAUCCCGGGGCUCAACCUCGGAACUGCCUUUGAUACGGGGUGUCUUGAGUAUGAGAGAGGUGUGUGGAACUCCGAGUGUAGAGGUGAAAUUCGUAGAUAUUCGGAAGAACACCAGUGGCGAAGGCGACACACUGGCUCAUUACUGACGCUGAGGCGCGAAAGCGUGGGGAGCAAACAGGAUUAGAUACCCUGGUAGUCC
rnacentral:rRNA from 1 species